rnacentral:rRNA from 1 species
GCUUACGGCCACACCACCCUGAACACGCCCGAUCUCGUCCGAUCUCGGAAGCUAAGCAGGGCCGGGCCUGGUUAGUACUUGGAUGGGGGACCGCCUGGGAAUACCAGGUGCUGUAUGUU